AGCCUCAUUCUAGAUAAGAAUGGGCACUGUUGACUAGUGUCCAAAAUUGGUCACUGUGGCUGAAUUGAGACACAGGUGAUGCCUCCAUCACAGUAAGUGAAUCACCGUGGUGACAAUGAGGCCUACAACACUU
ensembl:snoRNA